rnacentral:rRNA from 1 species
AGGAUGAACGCUGGCGGCGUGCCUAACACAUGCAAGUCGAACGUCCUGUCUCGCAAGAGGCAGGGAGUGGCGGACGGGUGAGUACCACGUGGGUUAUCUACCGUGAGGUGAGGAAUACCGGCGAGAAAUCGCCGACAAGACCGCAUAGCCUCGGUGCAAGCCGAGGAAAGCUUUCUCGAGAGAGGGAGCGCCACACGAGGAGCCUGCGCCCGAUUAGCUAGCUGGUGGAGUAACGGUUCACCAGGGCGACGAUCGGUAGCUGGUCUGAGAGGACGAUCAGCCACACUGGGAUUGAGAACGGCCCAGACUCCUACGGGGGCAGCAGUGAGGAAUUUUCGCAAUGGGGGCAACCCUGAACGAGCAACGCCGCGUGCAGGAAGAAGGUUUUCGGAUCGUAAACUGCUUUUCUCGGGGAAGAGAACGGACGGUACCCGAGGAAUCGAGCCCCGGCUAACUACGUGCCAGCAGCCGCGGUAA